AUACGGAGGGUGCAAGCGUUACUCGGAAUCACUGGGCGUAAAGGGUGCGUAGGCUGGCUUCUAAGUCAGAUGUGAAAUCCAAUGGCUUAACCAUUGAACUGCAUUUGAAACUGGGAGCCUAGAGUUCAGAAGGGGCAGAUGGAAUUAGUGGUGUAGGGGUAAAAUCCGUAGAUAUCACUAGGAAUAUCAAAAGCGAAGGCGAUCUGCUGGGAUGAUACUGACGCUGAGGCACGAAAGCGUGGGGAGC
rnacentral:rRNA from 1 species